UGGGGAAUAUUGCACAAUGGAGGGAACUCUGAUGCAGCGACGCCGCGUGAGUGAUGAAGGAAUUCGUUUCGUAAAACUCUGUUCUAUGGGAAGAAAAGGACUGUACCAUAGGAGAAAGCUCCGGCUAAAUACGUGCCAGCAGCCGCGGUAAUACGUAUGGAGCGAGCGUUGUCCGGAAUUAUUGGGCGUAAAGGGUGCGCAGGCGGCUUUACAAGUUGGAUGUGAAAUAUUGUGGCUCAACCACAAACGUGCAUCCAAAACUGCAAAGCUUGAGUUAAGGAGAGGUAAGUGGAAUUCCUGGUGUAGCGGUGGAAUGCGUAGAUAUCAGGAGGAAUACCGGUGGCGAAGGCGACUUACUGGACUUAAACUGACGCUCAGGCACGAAAGCAUGGGGAGCAAACAGG
rnacentral:rRNA from 1 species